GGUCUUAUAUUCAAAAUAAUGAUAUUAAAUUGCAAGUUUAAAGUUGAAAUAUAAUUCUAAGGCUU
rnacentral:tRNA from 1 species